UACGUAGGUGGCAAGCGUUGUCCGGAUUUACUGGGUGUAAAGGGCGCGUAGGCGGGAAUGCAAGUCAGAUGUGAAAUCUCCGGGCUCAACCCGGAAACUGCAUUUGAAACUGCAUUUCUUGAGUGAUGGAGAGGCAGGCGGAAUUCCUAGUGUAGCGGUGAAAUGCGUAGAUAUUAGGAGGAACACCAGUGGCGAAGGCGGCCUGCUGGACAUUAACUGACGCUGAGGCGCGUAAGCGUGGGGAGCAAACAGG
rnacentral:rRNA from 1 species